AGUGAACGCUGGCGGUAGGCCUAACACAUGCAAGUCGAACGGCAGCACAGUAAGAGCUUGCUCUUACGGGUGGCGAGUGGCGGACGGGUGAGGAAUACAUCGGAAUCUACUUUUUCGUGGGGGAUAACGUAGGGAAACUUACGCUAAUACCGCAUACGACCUACGGGUGAAAGCAGGGGAUCUUCGGACCUUGCGCGAUUGAAUGAGCCGAUGUCGGAUUAGCUAGUUGGCGAGGUAAAGGCCCACCAAGGCGACGAUCCGUAGCUGGUCUGAGAGGAUGAUCGGCAAGAUGGGGACUAGGACGCGGCCCAGACCACGACGGGAGGCAGCAGUAGGGGAGAGGCGGCAAUGGACGAAAGUCUGACCGAGCCACUCGGAGUGAGAGAAGAAGGCCUUGGGGUCGUAAAGCUCUGCUGUGAGAGAAGAACAUGGGUGAGAGUAACUGUUCACUCCUUGACGGUAUCUAACCAGAAAGCCACGGCUAACUACGUG
rnacentral:rRNA from 1 species